GCCGCGUUGGCGUAGUGGUAGCGCGUUGCACUUGUAGUUUGCGUAAUUCAGAUUACGUAAGCGUAGAUGCAAAGGUCACUUGUUCAAUCCAGGUACGUGGCA